rnacentral:rRNA from 1 species
GACGAACGCUGGCGGCGUGCCUAACACAUGCAAGUAGGACGCAGUUGCGAACGGGUGAGUAACGCGUAGGUAAUUACCUAUUAGAGGGGGAUAACUAUUGGCAACGAUUGCUAAUACCGCAUACUAGUAGGUGGAACUGCGUUGGAUUAGCUAGUCGGUAGGGUAAUGGCCUACCAAGGCAACGAUAAAUUCCCGACCUGAGAGGGUGAUCGGCCACACUGGGACUGAGACACGGCCCAGACUCCUACGGGAGGCAGCAGUGGGGAAUCUUCGGCAAUGGGGGGAACCCUGACCGAGCAACGCCGCGUGAGUGAAGAAGGUUUUCGGAUCGUAAAGCUCUGUUGUUAAGGAAGCGGUACUUAACCAGAAAGGGACGGCUAACUACGUGCCAGCAGCCGCGGUAAUUC